CAAUAGCGUAUAUUUAAGUUGUUGCAGUUAAAAAGCUCGUAGUUGGAUUUCGGGUGGGACGCAGCGGUCUCGCAUUGCGUUUGUACUGCUGCAGCCCUCCUUCUUGCCGGGGGCGGCCUCUCGGACUUCACUGUCUGGGGGUCAGAAUCGGCGAUGUUACUUUGAGUAAAUUAGAGUGUUCAAAGCAAGCUUACGCUCUGAAUAUAAUAGCAUGGGAUAACACGACAGGACUCUGGCCUAUCGUGUUGGUCUAUAGGACCAGAGUAAUGAUUAAGAGGGACAGUCGGGGGCAUUCGUAUUCCGUUGUCCGAGGUGAAAUUCUUGGAUUUACGGAAGACGAACAUCUGCGAAAGCAUUUGCCAAGGAUGUUUUCAUUGA
rnacentral:rRNA from 1 species